rnacentral:rRNA from 1 species
UACGUAGGGGCCUAGCGUUGUCUGGAAUUAUUGGGCGUAAAGAGCUCGUAGGCGGCCUGUUGCGUCCGCUGUGAAAUCCCGGGGCUUAACCCCGGGCGUGCAGUGGAUACGGGCAGGCUGGAGGCAGGCAGGGGAGAACGGAAUUCCCGGUGUAGCGGUGAAAUGCGCAGAUAUCGGGAGGAACACCGGUGGCGAAGGCGGUUCUCUGGGCCUGUACUGACGCUGAGGAGCGAAAGCGUGGGGAGCAAACAGG